UCUAAGUGAAGAAACUGGAAGGUACUGAUAUAAACUCUUCUACUAACAACAACAUUGCUUGAUAAGCUGUGUUGUGCCCCUUACUACCAUUCUCAUCAAUUAUAGAUUCGUGAUGGUUUGCAAGCUAUGAUUUAUGAGCUGAUAGAAAGUUCAAAUAGUUGUUUCACUUGGCAGGCCAGAAGGUGGUUUAGAAUAUUUUUGUUAUAUUCUAGUAAUAAAGAAGAAUGCUCAUAACACAACUUAUGCAGAGAGAAAGUGAUUAAUUGUUAUUUAUCCUGUCUUUCCUAAUCGCUAAUUCACUGGAUUCUUAAUGUGUGGAUUGAUGCAAAAGCAAAACAUUUCAAGGCAAAUAAAUCCAGUGAUGACAAUGGUAGUUUCAAAAAAGAUGUUGUUGAUCAAAAUCCUCCGCCACCAAAGAAAAAUGUCGUCCAAAUGAGGGCAAGAAGGGGCCUACACCACUGACAGCCAUUGCCUUGUAGAAAGGAAGGCAAGGACCAGGACCACAGCAAACAUCCCGUACUGUGCUUGCCAUGUUAAAAUUUCUUCUAUAGUCUUUUUUAUCAGAUUGACUAUGUAUUUGGUAAUGCCCAUUUGAUGUCAAGAGAUGUCCAAUUGUACAUGAGUCAUUUGAUUUCAAGAGAUGUCAUAUUGUACAUGAGUUGGAAGACAAAAGUACUGAUGCAACCAUGGAAGGGGUGGAAGGUAAAUCCAUUCUGAGGGAUAUAUGAACAACAAAGAACUUCUGAAGCAGUUUUUAUAAAAAUUGAUGAUGAAUUGGCUACAACCAUGAAAGUAUUGGUCUCCACUGUUGUGUGCAGACCAAUCAGCACCAGUGAGCAGCUUAAUACUAAUUGAUUUUCUCCACCACAAUAUGCCCUUUGUUUGUGGUGGUCAAAUAUUUGACGAUGUUUUUUUCUCCCAACCUGGCAAGGUAUUGUAUUACCUACAUGAAUCACUGGAAGGUGUGAUUUUGCUGUCGAUGGUUCUACUUGGUACUGAUUGACAUACAUACACUGUUGGAUCCUUUGCCCAAUUUCCAACUAGAACGUGAAACAUGUAGGUAAGGAAAAAUCUUUGCAACAAACAAAAGUGCAUAUAUUGAGUGCACCCUUUCCAUUCUGGUGCGAUAAAUAUAGGUUCUUAACACCUGUCUCUUUGUCAUAACGUGGACACAA